rnacentral:rRNA from 1 species
AUUGAACGCUGGCGGCAGGCCUAACACAUGCAAGUCGAGCGAGCGGCGGACGGGUGAGGAAUGUCAGUGAAACUGCCUGUGGGAGGGGGAGACCUACAGCAGACGGUAGCAACUACUGCAUCCCAUCAGAUCUGUCCAGAUGGGACUAGCUAGUGGGUGGGGGAAAGGCCCACCAAGGGAACGAUCCCUAGCUGGUCUGAGAGGACGACCAGCCACACUGGAACGGAGACACGGUCCAGACUCCUACGGGAGGCAGCAGUGGGGAAUAUUGCACAAUGGGCGAAAGCCGGAUGCAGCCAUGCCGCUUGUAUGAAGAAGGCCUUCGGGUUGUAAAGUACUUUCAGCGGGGAGGCGUUACCAGCAGAAGAAGCACCGGCUAACUCCGUGCCAGCCGCCGCGGUAAUAC